rnacentral:lncRNA from 1 species
GGUAGAGACACAGGAGGAGGGAGAAGCAGGCCUCAUGCCAGGAAGCUGACGUGGGACUUGAUCCCGGGACUCCAGGAUCGCGCCCUGGGCCAAAGGCAGGCGCCAAACCUCUGAGCCACCCAGGGAUCCCCCAGUACUGCAUUUUUGUUGAGUGACUGCUCUGCUCUGCUCUGAACAUUUAAUGAAAUACUGUGGGGGUAUGUUGGUUUGCAUAAAAUAUGAACGUGACCAGUAAGAAUUUGGAAAACGUAGAGUGUGGAGGAAAUUUCAGAACUUGCAGCAUCAGGGGGAGGAAGAGUUGUCAAUUUAGUUCACUUAAUGCUGCUUUGAGAGUGAAUGUAAAAUACCUACCAGUACUUGGCAAGUAGCAGCGCCUCAACAAAUGUCAGGUCUCACGGUUGGGGCGGAAGGCAGCAUUCACUGGUAAUAUAAGUUCAAGGCCGCCUUCCUCCUGGGGCACAGAAUGAAUGUGCCAUCCAAGGUGAUGGAUAAGACUGUCAUGAAUAGUCAGGGAAAGCUUCGUCAAGGUGGCAGAUGUGACCCGAGCGUUGAGACAGGUGCAGUGGGCUGGUGUAGCUCUUCCACAUGGCGUGAUUCUCAAUGGCUGGGCAGUAGGCCCUGGCAGCUGGUCACUGGAGAGGAGACUGGUUAGAUUGUGCUGGGAAAUAAGGGAGGAAAAGUAAACUCUGGAAGAAGUGUGGGCAUCAUUGUACAUUGGCCUAAGGAACUUGGGCUGGAGACAAAGGUGCUGGAGGGUGGGGCGGAUACGGCUUCUGAUAUGAGAUUUCCAUGAUCAAAACCAGCCUUUCAGGAAGACCUCUGAUGAGGGUGCUGCACUCGCGGGCGCCUCUAGAGAGGCAGGGCAGGAAAACCCGGCCUCGAGGAAACCGCCUACCAGAGAGCAGCUCCCAGGGACCUCCGACGUGGGGUUUGGAGUUGCGGCUGCCCUGGCUCGGGGAAGCAUCGACGGCUCUCCGGACCCCGCAGCGGGCUUCGGGCGGUGUUGCCGCCGCCGCCGCCGCCGCCGCCGCCGUUCAGGGCUGCGAGCAUGAAGCCUAAAGGAUUUCCUCGCCGGUGGCCCACCGGCUUUUUGUUGUGGCUCCUAUUCUAAAACAUCACCACAAAAUACUUCUUUUUUUAAGAAAAAGAUUUUUAUUUAUUUAUUCAUGAGAGAUACAGAGAGAGAGGCAGAGACACAGGCAGAGGGAGAAGCAGGCUCCAUGCAGGGAGCCCAACGCGGGACUCGAUCCCAGGACUCCAGGAUCACACCCUGGGCCGAAGGCAGGCACCAAACCACUGAGCCAAUCAGGGAUCCCCCUCACCACAAAAUACUUAAUCCUUCUAGGCCUUUAGAAAUGUCAGAUCAGAGAGGCAAAGGUAGAGUUCUAAACAUAAAUCCGUGCCGUGAGCUGCUGUGGGUACAAUAGUUUACAAAUGAAAAGAUUUUGAAAUAAUUUGCACACUGAGAAAUGCCAGUAGUGGUUUGAGGUCCAUCGUUUGUGUCUAUUUACCCCUCCCCACCCCCACCCCCCUCCCUAACACUUGGGGAGCGGCUUUCUCGUACUGCUCGUGUCUUACUGCGAAGACACAGUACCUGGGCUCA